rnacentral:pre_miRNA from 14 species
CUGUCCUGUUAUGAACACUGUUCUAUGGUUAGUUUUGCAGGUUUGCAUCCAGCUGUGUGAUAUUCUGCUGUGCAAAUCCAUGCAAAACUGACUGUGGUGGUGAAAAGUCUGUAGAAAAGUA